rnacentral:rRNA from 1 species
GACGAACGCUGGCGGCGUGCUUAACACAUGCAAGUCGAACGGAAAGGCCCUUCGGGGUACUCGAGUGGCGAACGGGUGAGUAACACGUGGGUGAUCUGCCCUGCACUUUGGGAUAAGCCUGGGAAACUGGGUCUAAUACCGAAUAUGACCGCGCUUUUCAUGGGGUGUGGUGGAAAGCUUUUGCGGUGUGGGAUGGGCCCGCGGCCUAUCAGCUUGUUGGUGGGGUAAUGGCCUACCAAGGCGACGACGGGUAGCCGGCCUGAGAGGGUGACCGGCCACACUGGGACUGAGAUACGGCCCAGACUCCUACGGGAGGCAGCAGUGGGGAAUAUUGCACAAUGGGCGCAAGCCUGAUGCAGCGACGCCGCGUGAGGGAUGACGGCCUUCGGGUUGUAAACCUCUUUCAAUAGGGACGAAGCGCAAGUGACGGUACCUAUAGAAGAAGGACCGGCCAACUACGUGCCAGCCGCCGCCGUAAAAC